AACGCACAUUGCGCCCUCUGGUAUUCCGGGGGGCAUGCCUGUUCGAGCGUCAUUACAACCCUCAAGCUCUGCUUGGUAUUGGGCCGCAGCCAAACCCCUCAGGGGAGGCUCGGCCUCAAAGUCAUUGGCGGUGCCCGCUGGACUCCGAGCGCAGUAACCAUACUCUCGCUUAUGGAAGUCUCUCGUGGCGCCUGGCCGCAACCCAAAUUCAUACUGGUUGACCUCGGAUCAGGUAGGGAUACCCGCUGAACUUAA
rnacentral:misc_RNA from 1 species